ACCCCACCUAUGUUGAAAAAUCAAAUAUACGUUUAUUCCUUAAAUGGCUCUUUAGAUUUCCUGUGAGAGAGAGGAUUCUGAACUGUAAGGAGGGGGUAACACGGUGCAAGUUACAUUUUAAGAGAAUUUGGUACAUGGAGUGGAUAAAGGAUGAAUGAAAAGAAAGGAUUGGAGAAGGAGAACCUCAGUAGGGUACUAUACCAGUAUGUGAGGAUGGCUUGGCAGUUGAACUAAAUGCAAAAAAUGUGGGCAUGAAAAAUUUAUUGAAAAUCCGUGAUUGAGAAAAAAGGCAACUCGGAGGAUUGAGAAGUGGAAAAUGUCUCUGAAGGUUGUAGUGAGGAAGAAAGAGAUAAUGAAGUGUCAGGACAGACGUGAGCUGGAGCGGGAGGGGCGGGGUACUGGAAUGUAGAUUCAGGAGGGAAAAGAUUGUGCCUCCCUGUGCCUGACACCUAAGAGAUUCUCAACGAACGCUGAAGAGGGGGUCACCACUUCAUCUCGGGGAAGAGGAAUCACUUUCAUGGGAAGGUGAUGUACUCCGUUCGUGUAAUGAUUUUGAGGCAAAGAUGGUGUCUUAGUUUGCUAGGGCAGCCACAAUGAAACCCCACACACUGGAUCUUUUUUAAAAAGAAGUUAUUUUCUCACAAUUGUGGAGGGCAGAAAUUUAAGAACAAGGAGUUUCCAGGGUUGAUUUCUUCUGAGAUCUUUGGUCUCUUUCCUGGUCUUGUGGAUUGCUGUUUUCUUGGUCUUCACAUGACCCUCUUCUAGGUGUCUGUGUUAUAAUCCCUUCUCUUUGUGAAGGCCCUGAUCAUAUUGCAGUAGGACCCACCUAUAUGAUCUCAUUACAACUUAAUUAUCUAUUUACAGGCCCUAUCUCCCAAUAUAGUCAGAUUCUGAAGUACUGGGGGUUAGAACUUCAACACCGAAUUUGAGGGGCUGUACAUUCAUAACAACUGGUAAUUCAAGUGCACAUCCUAGAAGCAACUGGAAAUAAAAGAUUACAACACAGGGAAGAGAACCAAGCUGAAGAGAGUGAUUUGAAGAGGUUACAGCAGAUGAUAAAGCCAUGAGAAAUUACAGCAUCUUUCCUAGCAACUUGUUCCAAAACAAACAAAAUGUAUUAAGAAAAAAAUAAAAAACAUGGGAACUUCUUGGACAAGAUUUUGGGAGUGACUAAAUCUAAGCCUGUCCAGAAAAUAAUUAAGAGGAUAAUAAAGAGCUAAGUCAUGCUAGAAUCACAAUCCAAACAGUGUCUAUCAGAGGGAACUCCUAACCGUUGUAUCCACCAAGUGGGUUUUAGGAUAACUACUCAACUGGGCUGCACCAUUUUGCAUCCCAGAGAAAGUCUCAAGUGGUAAACUGACUCUGAGUGCUCUAUGACGGAUUUUGGGUUUGUCCCUGUCAUGCUAACUCUUGCUGGGACAAGUAUGCCCCAUUUUCCAAAGAGUAAUUUACAUUCACAGCUGAGUUUACUCUGUUUCAAGACAAAGGAAUCCUACUGUUUUUUCAAUUCAUACAGCUUUGACUUUCUACUGUAAAAGCAUGGGCAUGGUCGUGUCCCCAUGGUGGAAUUACACUAGCAGUGUUCUCCGAGUAACUAACUAUGAGCUUGUGCAAGAUGAUGGCUCUCAUGAUGUAUUAUAAAAGUAAAGCCAAUGAGUGGUAAAUUGACUUAGUGAAGAAGGAAAAAAAAUCUACAGUUGCACUUUGCUACCAGGAAAAGCCACAACCAUUCCACUUUUCAAAGCAGUGCUGUUCACAAGUAGGGGCUUCAGAAAGAUGUGGGUCAGAAGCACAGUGUGGAAAUUAAAUAUAAUACCCCACAAAGCUUCUCCUUGUCAUGAGACAAAGAUCUUCAAACAUGGUUUUCUGGGCUUUGUAUGAGCCGGCCUCUGCUGAACUCCCCAGUCUGGCUUCUUGGCUCUUCAUAAGUCAUUCUCCUCUUCUCAUCCAUGCCAUCCAUCUCGUUGUCUGGUGCCAUUGUCAGGACCUCAGAUCACAUGAUUCCAUAAUUGAAACGCACAUCCAGUUGGGUCUUGAAUAUAUUCUUUUACUAUUAGUAUUAUUACUUAUUAUAGCCCCAUGUUAUUUUUCCUUUAUAAAACUUGCUCAUGGUGACAGGUGGUGGCACAGUGGACCUAUGUGAGAAAGGUUUUUAGUUCAUAACCCUGGGCCUCAAUGAGCAUGCCAGGCAUGUGUACACGAACCUGUGAACUCAUGAUCUGGGGCAGCGAGCCUGGGGGUGGGUCAGAGUAUGAAGACCCUGUUCAAGGGAGUCUUCUCCCUCUCUCUUUUUCUCUGUAUCUGUCUUAUGGAAUUAAUAAACUUAAAUACAAAAGAUAGCAGUUAUUAAAUAUGACUCUGAUAAUUAGCCACUGAUGGGAUCUCUAAAGGGGCAAACCUCACACCCCUUCCUUAGCCACUCUGUACCUGAUGUCUAGAACAGGACUAGAUCUAGCAGCCGUGGAGUCAAGGUUUACUUAAUUAACGCAUGUAUGUCUAUGACUUGUCUUUUUUAACACCUCAAAUUAGUUUCAAUACAAAGUGGGACGGUAUGGUGGGAAGACAGCAGGUUGUAGAAUGAGGCCCGGCUGAGUUUCAAUUGAGUUGUCCCGUUGUAUUUGUCUGAAGUCAGAUGAAAGAGGUAUCAGUUGCUACUUUCCCUCCUCAUCUUUGAUCCUCCCGUUGAAGACUCACUUUCAUCUGAAAGUGUUCCCUUCACUUUGCCAUGCCACAUUCUUCAAAAUGGCCUUCUCAAUCGGAACGCUUCCUCGGUGUUCUUUCCUUUGCCUUAAAUUGUUGUUGUUCCACAUCCUUUACACAUUAUAAACCCUGUUCACAGGGUUCUCAUUUCUUUCAUGACUUCAACAGCCAAAGCUGCAUUUUCUUGCUGUCUAUUAUCACCUCCACAGAGCACCGUGAGCAAGCAUCGUAGUGCACACCCGAAUCAUGCUGUACUUCUGGCGUUAGGUGAUAGUUUAACAAAUUGUCUAUGGUUUAUUUCUAAUUGUAUUCAUCCCACUGCCAGUUCAGGUUUAGCUUUUUGUUUAAAAGUUUAUUAGUUUCGUUUAUGAAAGAGCGAGAGACCCACACCAGGAUCUCAUGCCGUCGCACUCUCCUGGCCUUUCUAGCCAACACCAU